rnacentral:rRNA from 1 species
GAGUUUGAUCAUGGCUCAGAUCGAUCGCUGGCGGCAUGCCUUACACAUGCAAGUCGAACGGUAACAGGUCUUUCGGGAUGCUGACGAGUGGCGAACGGGUGAGUAAUACAUCGGAACGUGCCCAGUAAUGGGGGAUAGCUCGGCGAAAGCCGGAUUAAUACCGCAUACGCCCUGAGGGGGAAAGUGGGGGACCGCAAGGCCUCACGUUAUUGGAGCGGCCGAUGGCUGAUUAGCUAGUUGGUAGGGUAAAGGCCUACCAAGGCGACGAUCAGUAGCUGGUCUGAGAGGACGAUCAGCCACACUGGGACUGAGACACGGCCCAGACUCCUACGGGAGGCAGCAGUGGGGAAUUUUGGACAAUGGGGGAAACCCUGAUCCAGCAAUGCCGCGUGUGCGAAGAAGGCCUUCGGGUUGUAAAGCACUUUUGUCAGGGAAGAAAUCCUUUGGGCUAAUACCCUAGGGGGAUGACGGUACCUGAAGAAUGAGCACCGGCUAACUACGUGCCAGCAGCCGCGGUAAUACGUAGGGUGCAAGCGUUAAUCGGAAUUACUGGGCGUAAAGCGUGCGCAGGCGGUUGUGUAAGACAGGUGUGAAAUCCCCGGGCUUAACCUGGGAAUUGCAUUUGUGACUGCACGACUAGAGUGUGUCAGAGGGGGGUGGAAUUCCGCGUGUAGCAGUGAAAUGCGUAGAUAUGUGGAGGAACACCAAUGGCGAAGGCAGCCCCCUGGGAUAACACUGACGCUCAUGCACGAAAGCGUGGGGAGCAAACAGGAUUAGAUACCCUGGUAGUCCACGCCCUAAACGAUGUCAACUAGUUGUUGGGGAUUUACUUCCUUGGUAACGUAGCUAACGCGUGAAGUUGACCGCCUGGGGAGUACGGCCGCAAGGUUAAAACUCAAAGGAAUUGACGGGGACCCGCACAAGCGGUGGAUGAUGUGGAUUAAUUCGAUGCAACGCGAAAAACCUUACCUACCCUUGACAUGGCAGGAACUUUCCAGAGAUGGAUUGGUGCUCGAAAGAGAACCUGCACACAGGUGCUGCAUGGCUGUCGUCAGCUCGUGUCGUGAGAUGUUGGGUUAAGUCCCGCAACGAGCGCAACCCUUGUCAUUAGUUGCUACGAAAGGGCACUCUAAUGAGACUGCCGGUGACAGACCGGAGGAAGGUGGGGAUGACGUCAAGUCCUCAUGGCCCUUAUGGGUAGGGCUUCACACGUCAUACAAUGGUCGGUACAGAGGGUUGCCAAGCCGCGAGGUGGAGCCAAUCCCAGAAAACCGAUCGUAGUCCGGAUCGCAGUCUGCAACUCGACUGCGUGAAGUCGGAAUCGCUAGUAAUCGCGGAUCAGAAUGCCGCGGUGAAUACGUUCCCGGGUCUUGUACACACCGCCCGUCACACCAUGGGAGUGGGUUCUACCAGAAGUGGCUAGUCUAACCGCAAGGAGGACGGUCACCACGGUAGGAUUCAUGACUGGGGUGAAGUCGUAACAAGGUAACC